rnacentral:rRNA from 1 species
UCGGGAAUAUUGCGCAAUGGAGGAAACUCUGACGCAGUGACGUCGCGUGCAGGAAGAAGGUUUUCGGAUUGUAAACUGCUUUAGACAGGGAAGAAACAAGACAGUACCUGUAGAAUAAGCUCCGGCUAACUACGUGCCAGCAGCCGCGGUAAUACGUGGGGAGCAAGCGUUAUCCGGAUUUAUUGGGUGUAAAGGGUGCGUAGACGGGAAGACAAGUUAGUUGUGAAAUCCCUCGGCUUAACUGAGGAACUGCAACUAAAACUAUCAUUCUUGAGUGCUGGAGAGGAAAGUGGAAUUCCUAGUGUAGCGGUGAAAUGCGUAGAUAUUAGGAGGAACACCAGUGGCGAAGGCGACUUUCUGGACAGUAACUGACGUUGAGGCACGAAAGUGUGGGGAGCAAACAGGAUUAGAUACC